GUGUUGAGCUGGUGGUACAGUGAGUGGAUCAGAUGCAGCAGUGAUUAGCAGUGAUUAGCAUGGUGGUGGUGUAUGAGGUGUUAGUGAGUGUUGAGCUGGUGGUACAGUGAGUGGAUCAGAUACAGCAGUGAUUAGCAUGGUGGUGGUGUAUGAGGUGUUAGUGAGUGUUGAGCUGGUACAGUGAGUGGAUCAGAUACAGCAGUGAUUAGCACUGAUUAGCAUGGUGGUGGUGUAUGAGGUGUUAGUGUGUGUUGAGCUGGUGGUACAGUGAGUGGAUCAGAUACAGCAGUGAUUAGUACUGAUUAGCAUGGUGGUGGUGUAUGAGGUGUUAGUGUGUGUUGAGCUGGUGGUACAGUGAGUGGAUCAGAUACAGCAGUGAUUAGCAGUGAUUAGCAUGGUGGUGGUGUAUGAGGUGUUAGUGUGUGUUGAGCUGGUGGUACAGUGAGUGGAUCAGAUACUGCAGUGAUUAGCAUGGUGGUGGUGUAUGAGGUGUUAGUGUGUGUUGAGCUGGUGGUACAGUGAGUGGAUCAGAUACAGCAGUGAUUAGCAUGGUGGUGGUGUAUGAGGUGUUAGUGUGUGUUGAGCUGGUGGUACAGUGAGUGGAUCAGAUACAGCAGUGAUUAGCACUGAUUAGCAUGGUGGUGGUGUAUGAGGUGUUAGUGUGUGUUGAGCUGGUACGGUGAGUGGAUCAGAUACAGCAGUGAUUAGCACUGAUUAGCAUGGUGGUGGUGUAUGAGGUGUUAGUGUGUGUUGAGCUGGUGGUACAGUGAGUGGAUCAGAUACAGCAGUGAUUAGCAUGGUGGUGGUGUAUGAGGUGUUAGUGUGUGUUGAGCUGGUGGUACAGUGAGUGGAUCAGAUACAGCAGUGAUUAGCAGUGAUUAGCAUGGUGGUGGUGUAUGAGGUGUUAGUGAGUGUUGAGCUGGUGGUACAGUGAGUGGAUCAGAUACAGCAGUGAUUAGCAGUGAUUAGCAUGGUGGUGGUGUAUGAGGUGUUAGUGUGUGUUGAGCUGGUGGUACAGUGAGUGGAUCAGAUACUGCAGUGAUUAGCAGUGAUUAGCAUGGUGGUGGUGUAUGAGGUGUUAGUGAGUGUUGAGCUGGUGGUACAGUGAGUGGAUCAGAUACAGCAGUGAUUAGCACUGAUUAGCAUGGUGGUGGUGUAUGAGGUGUUAGUGAGUGUUGAGCUGGUACAGUGAGUGGAUCAGAUACAGCAGUGAUUAGCACUGAUUAGCAUGGUGGUGGUG